GCCGACAUAGCUCAGCUGGUAGAGCAACUGACUUGUAAUCAGUAGGUCGUAGGUUCGAAUCCUAUUGUCGGCUCCA
rnacentral:tRNA from 1 species